CCCAGGAAUUUAAAUGCCCUCUAAGCACUCGAUCCCAUCUUAACUUGGAAACUAAGCAGAGAUAGUCCUGGCCAGGAGUUGGAUGGGAGACUGGCUAUGAAUACCAGGUGCUGUAGGCU
rnacentral:rRNA from 11 species